rnacentral:rRNA from 1 species
AAUUUUGGACAAUGGGGGAAACCCUGAUCCAGCCAUCCCGCGUGUAUUAUGAAGGCCUUCGGGUUGUAAAGUACUUUUGGCAGAGAAGAAAAGGUAUCUCCUAAUACGAGAUACUGCUGACGGUAUCUGCAGAAUAAGUACCGGCUAACUACGUGCCAGCAGCCGCGGUAACACUUAGGGUCCAAACGUUAAUCGGGAUUAUUGGGCGUAAAGCGUGUGUAGGCAGUUCGGAAAGCAAGAUGUGAAAUCCCAGGGCUCAACCUUGGAACCGCAUCUUUAACUGCCGAGCUAGAGUAUAUCAGAGGGGGGUAGAAUUCCACGUGUAGCAGUGAAAUGCGUAGAUAUGUGGAGGAAUACCGAUGGCGAAGGCAGCCCCCUGGGAUAAUACUGACGCUCAGACACGAAAGCGUGGGGAGCAAACA